UGGCAGUGGUGGUGAUGUUAGUGUUGUUGCUGUUGUUGGUGGUGGUGAUGUUAGUGUUGUUGCUGUUGUUGGUGGUGGUGCUAGAAACAAAGGUGGUACAGUUCUAUAUUUAAGAGAUUAUUAAGAAUGAGCUGACCUUUUGAACUUUCUCCGGCUGUUGAAGGUUUAGUGGUGAUGUUCUCAGGUUGAAGCCAUCUAAAGAUGACCCUGUUCAGAAGGCUGUAAUAUGUCAUUCGACAAAGAAUUCAUAGAACAAACUGAAACUUUAAAUACUUUUACUCUCGGUCUCAAAUAUAUACAAAUUGAAUAACAAUGGAAAGAGGUUGAUGAAAGAACCAUGUUCAUCUUCUGCGUAACCUCAUGGUAUUCGCUGCCGCAGGUGUGCGAGAGAUGGCUAGAUCAAGUCUUGGCGAUCUUUCGGUACUAGAUCCCAUAACUUCCGGUCGUUGUGCGCACGCAUACUGAUUACAUUAUCGUAUAAUGUGUGUAGUAACGUCGUGCGCAUGCGUAGUCUCACGCAUGCGUGGAAUUCAACAACCAAGCUUUCCCGCUUCAUUCUGUCUCUUUCUUGCUGGCCAGCGAUUGAGCAAGGACGUGUUUAGCUGUCUCUCUCCAUCUUUCGAACUUACGCUAGACAGCUCGCUCACAUCUACAUACCAACGUCCCAACAACCAUGCUCACACACACAGAAGACGUCUCAACAAACAAGAGCUAAUGAUGUAUAUAUAUUCCACCUUAAAUAAAUAAUUGUUAUGUUGAUA